AUACGGAGGGUGCAAGCGUUGUUCGGAAUUAUUGGGCGUAAAGCGCGUGUAGGCGGUCUUUUAAGUCUGAUGUGAAAGCCCCGGGCUCAACCUGGGAAGUGCAUUGGAAACUGGGAGACUUGAGUACGGGAGAGGAGAGUGGAAUUCCUAGUGUAGGAGUGAAAUCCGUAGAUAUUAGGAGGAACACCGGUGGCGAAGGCGGCUACCUGGACCGAUAUUGACGCUGAGACGCGAAAGCGUGGGGAGC
rnacentral:rRNA from 1 species